rnacentral:lncRNA from 1 species
GACAGACUUCUUUGCUUCCCUGCUCCUUGGGGAUUAGAUGCUGAUGGUUUUCUUUAUCGGCUCCAUCCAGGAUGGCUGCUCUCCCCUCCGCCCCCUUCCCCAAUCCUAGAACCUCCAGCAGUGCAGCAUCUAGAGAUCAGAGGAGGAAGCUCAAGAUCUGGGCAGGAUGGGACCCCGCGGGCCUGGGAGACGAUUGUCGGGAGCAGCCUGAGGAUCACCCGGCUAGCCCGUCGGGGAGGGAAAGAGAACCACAGGCCCUAGACAGGCUGCUCCUUCAGCCCAGCUGCCAGCAUGAAGAAGACAUGCAGAGCAGAGACAUGACCACUGGCCUGCGAAUAAGAGAUUUUUUUUUCUUGAGGAAGACUGGCCCUGAGCUAACAUCCGUGCCCAUCUUCCUCUACCUUAUAUGUGGGACGCCUACCACAGCAUGGCUUGCCAAGUGAUGCCGUGUCUGCACCCGGAUCCUAACCAGCAAACCCCAGGCCGCUGAAGCAGAAUGUGCUCAGUUAAUCGCUGCACCACCGGGCCGCCCCAAGAACUUUGAUUUUUAGAUCAGUCUGCUCCCCAUCAGGGCGCCCUGUGUGGGCCAAGGACCAGACCUGGAGAAUCCUCAGUCUAAGCUCCUGGAAAUAUUUUAAGUGUCUCUAAGUACACAGAAAGAGCGUCUUCUAAGAAUGUGGAAGGAGUUUGAACAUCACCCAGGGAAAGAUGACCUCAGAUCCAGCUUCUCAUCUAGAGAACUCAUAAAAAUCGCUCUGGGAAAGUUGCUGUUAGUUGUUAUUUAGUAUCUCCCACUGGUCAGGAAGGGUAAGGCGAAGGACUCUGCUAAGAGCCUUACACGUGUCAUCUCGUUCAAUUCUCAUGACACCACCAUGACCUAGGUGCUGUUACCAUUUCCUCUUUCCCGUUUAGGAAACUGAGACAUGGUGAAGUGUCUGCCCAAAGUCACACAGCCAGUGGAGGCAGAGCUGAGGCCUGACUUUCCUCUGCACCGUUCCACCUCCCUGCAUAUCCAUUUUAGAUCCAACUUAUGGUGUCGUUGAGUUUUUUGCUUCACGCACGCUUAAUGGUCCAUGAGGGCUUGUUGUAUAAUUAACGUGCAUGUGCUUAUUUUCUAGAACUCAGCACUUGCUUUCUUGUUUUAAAACUAUUGUCGCGGUUUAUGGUUAUUGCAUCCUUAUGUUCUGGUGUUGGUUCUAUCUGGGAUCAUCGAUGGUCCCAUGGAGGAGACGCCCUUCUCUUUAAAGACAGCUCACCACGGGGCUGGCUCCGCCGGGUAACAACUACCGCCAAGGAGAGGGGCUGCGUGACGCUUGACUCUGCCAGAGGAAAAGCGAGACUCGGGACAUGCAGGGUUUUGAAAAACAGCAAUGCAGCGAAGAGUGGUGCAAGGAGAACAGGGUCUGAGAGGGAGGUUUCACAGGGCAGGCCAAGGAGUCUGUACUUUAUCAUCCAGGCAGGGAUGUUUUCACAGAUGGGAGUGCCCUGAUCAGAUCUGUGUUUGCAAAGCGCUCAACUUGUUUCGGGACUGGGUGGGAGCCACUCUGAGGAGCAGGCUCUCUGGGUGCUGUGGGAUUGCCAGGAAACAUGUCUAUGGAAACGUGGCUUAGGUGUGGCUGAGGACAGUGUCUCUGGCCCCGCACUGUCCAGGGUCUCUUCUCUGUCGCCCCAGGGCCUGCUUCUCCAGCUGAUCCUCCUCUGUAUCCCACGCUGGUCCACAGGGAGAAAGCCUGGGUCCAAAUCCUGGCUCUGGCGCUCCCAAGCUCUGUGCCUGUGGUCCAGUUUCCUCUGUGCCUCAAUUUCUCCAUCUGUAAAAGGGUUUAACAAUAAACUCACCUCGUAUGACUGUGGUGAGGAUUAAAGUGAGCAGAC